GAUGAACGCUGGCGGCAUGCCUAAUACAUGCAAGUCGAACGAGAGGAAGGAAAGCUUGCUUUUCUGAAUCUAGUGGCGAACGGGUGAGUAACACGUAGGUAACCUGCCCAUGUGCCCGGGAUAACUUCUGGAAACGGAUGCUAAAACCGGAUAGGUAGCAGACAAGCAUUUGACUGCUAUUAAAGUGGCUAAGGCCAUGAACAUGGAUGGACCUGCGGUGCAUUAGCUAGUUGGUGAGGUAACGGCCCACCAAGGCGACGAUGCAUAGCCGGCCUGAGAGGGCGGACGGCCACAUUGGGACUGAGACACGGCCCAAACUCCUACGGGAGGCAGUAGUAGGGAAUUUUCGUGAAUGGGGGGAACCCUGAACGAGCAAUGCCGCGUGAGUGAGGAAGGUCUUCGGAUCGUAAAGCUCUGUUGUAAGAGAAAAACGACAUUCAUAGGGAAUGAUGAGUGAGUGAUGGUAUCUUACCAGAAAGUCACGGCUAACUACGUGCCAGCAGCCGCGGUAAUAC
rnacentral:rRNA from 1 species